rnacentral:rRNA from 1 species
UACGGGGGGGGGCAAGCGUUGUUCGGAAUUACUGGGCGUAAAGCGCGCGUAGGCGGCCAACUAAGUCCGACGUGAAAUCCCAAAGCUUAACUUUGGAACUGCGUCGGAUACUGGAUGGCUUGAAUUCGGGAGAGGGAUGCAGAAUUCCAGGUGUAGCGGUGAAAUGCGUAGAUAUCUGGAGGAACACCGGUGGCGAAGGCGGCAUCCUGGACCGGCAUUGACGCUGAGGCGCGAAAGCCAGGGGAGCAAACGGG